GGACAGUAUGGGAGUGAGAAUGUUGGCAUGAGUAGCGAGAUGUGGGUGAGAAUCCCACAGGCCGUAAACCCAAGGUUUCCAGGGGAAGGUUCGUCCGCCCUGGGUUAGUCGGGACCUAAGCUGAGGCCGAAAGGCGUAGGUGAUGGACAACAGGUUGAUAUUCCUGUACUACCGAUAACCGUUUGAGAGAAGGGAUGACACAGUAGGAUAAGCUAAGCACACUGUUGGUUAUGUGUGCCCAAGCAUUGAGGCAGUCAAAGUAGGUAAAUCCGCUUUGAUAAUGCUGGGAUGUGAUGGGGAGCGAAAUUUAGUAGCGAAGUAGCUGAUGUCACACUGUGAAGAAAAGGCUCUAUAGAGGUUAAAGGUACCCGUACCGCAAACCGACACAGGUGGGUGAGGAGAGUAUCCUAAGGCCAGCGAGAGAACUGUUGUUAAGGAACUCGGCAAAAUGACCCCGUAACUUAGGGAUAAGGGGUGCCACCAUCAGGUGGCCGCAGAGAAUAGGCCCAAGCGAC
rnacentral:rRNA from 1 species